UACGUAGGUGGCUUUGUAAGUCAGGUGUGAAAGCCCAGGGCUCAACCCUGGAAGUGCAUUUGAUACUGCGAAGCUUGAGUGUAGGAGAGGUUACUAGAAUUCUUGGUGUAGUGGUGAAAUACGUAGAUAUCAAGAGGAAUACCGGUGGCGAAGGCGGGUAACUGGCCUAACACUGACACUCAGACCCGAAAGCGUGGGGAUCAAACAGGAUUAGAUACCCGGGUAGU
rnacentral:rRNA from 1 species